rnacentral:rRNA from 1 species
GAACUGAAGAGUUUGAUCAUGGCUCAGAUUGAACGCUGGCGGCAGGCCUAACACAUGCAAGUCGAGCGGAUGAAGGGAGCUUGCUCCUGGAUUCAGCGGCGGACGGGUGAGUAAUGCCURGGAAUCUGCCUGGUAGUGGGGGAUAACGUCCGGAAACGGGCGCUAAUACCGCAUACGUCCUGAGGGAGAAAGUGGGGGAUCUUCGGACCUCRCGCUAUCAGAUGAGCCUAGGUCGGAUUAGCUAGUUGGUGGGGUAAAGGCCUACCAAGG